AGGUAUUAUAGCACUUUUAGAAUUUGUCUAGCAGGUUUCUGACUUUUGUCACACUCCCCA
ensembl:snRNA U7 U7 small nuclear RNA